AGUGGGUUAGCGCAGUGGUUAGCGCGUCUCUCUCACAUAACUCUAGGCUGUCACACAGUGGGUGCUGUGUGGCAGUCUAGACUUGGGACAGAGAAGGACCUGAGUUCGAUCCUCAGACUCACUA
rnacentral:tRNA from 1 species